GCCCCUGGCUGUGAGCACUGAGCUCUGUUCCCCUUCGCCAGCCCGAGGGAGGUCAGCGACAUGCACGCACCCACCCAGGACAGGGCGGCAGGGUUCGUGGGAAACUGCCGGCUGGGUUCAGGGAGGAGCCACAGGGGGAACCUUGGACCCCAAGUCCUUCCAAGACGACCCACUCACUUGUGCCCCCAGGAGCCCAGUGCCCCUUGAAUGCGUGGCGGUCAAGGCCUCUGGGCAUUUGCUCUUACAGGUUGCUGUGCUGGGGGUCAGAGGAACCUUUUCCUGUCCUGCUCCCCCCAGCCUCGCUACGCACUGGACAAAAAGACAGGCAGAACGGAGAGCAAAUGAUGUGGAAACGGAGGCACAGAAAAGCAAAGCCACUAGCCCAAGAUCCCACACCUAGGAAGAGGCAGAGACACUUCAUCGAGGGGUCAAGCAUUCUCUUGGAAUGAGAUGGCAAAUCCACGGUGAGACAUCGGCUGGACCGGCCGUGGCCACAGGGGGCCACUGGGAGCACAUGUCAGCCACCAGGAUGACAUGGAUGCUGAAGAAAGAGUGGGUCCUACAUAAACCUCAAACAGGACCCUCUCAAGCCAGGUUCAAGGAGACCAGAAGGAACUUUCUCCUUGUGACACUGAGGAAGCUGGAGUCAGGCUGUUAAAAACUUGGCCACAGAAAGGUUCCAGUGGGCCGGGGUUCUCAACCCCCCUUUUGACAUCAGGGGAAACUGAGACCCACAGAGCAGCUCUGUCUUCCCAUCCAAACCCACAUCCUUGAAUCUUCCCUGGAGGGAAACCACGCUGAGGUAGGAGGCCUGAGUUCCAGGCCCAACUCUGCUCCUAAUUUUCAAAGAAUCUGCACAAAUCUCUUCCCCUCUCUGAGCCUCGAACCUGUAGAUAUUUCAGAUGACCCUGAAGAUGCCCUCUGGUCCAGCAUUGAGGACAUGGGGCUCAGACCCUGCCUGAGCUCAGGAGCCAGCACGGCUGAAGAAAUGGUCUGGACACCCAGGCUUCUUUCUCUGACAUCACGUUUGGGCCUCAGUUUCCUCUUCUGGGAAUGCAAGUGUUGUGGUUAAUGCUAUCUGGGUUCAAACUCUGGCUCUGCCUUUACCAGCUGUGUGACCUUGGGCAAGUCACGUAACCUCUCUGUGCCUCUGUUUCCUCACCUACACAGCGGAGAAGCAAGGGAAGAGGACUCAAUUGUCUGUGAGUGUCCCCCGUCAGACCUGACGAUCCAUGCAUUCUCUACCCCAAGUUUCUCCAAAUGAACCACAGAGAUAGGAAUCAGGGGAGAAACCAGCCGGACACCACUGCCGCCCCCGCCCCGGGGGAGCCAGAUGACGCCCAAAGAGGCCUUUCAGGCGCUUCCAGAACUGAUGGCUGCCCCAGGGCCAGGGCCGCCUUUGAUGUCAGCCCUGCAUCCUUACAACCACCAGAGAUGGAGCUGACGCAGCCCCAGUUUUCAAGAACACGGCUCUCAGCGAGGCACAGCAACUUGCCAAAGCGCCACAGCGAGAAAGCAGAAAGGGGCAGAGCUUCUCACUAAAUCUGCCCCAUCGCCGGGGACACGGACACCUAGAGACAGAGUCGUGAAUGCCACACGCUUACCGAGCUCUGGGACCCCAGCUAAAUGAGGAAACCAAGGCUGCAGAACUAGGAAGGCGAGGAAUUUGAAGCCAAGCAGUCGGAUUCCAGAAGCUCUGACCAUCGUGCCAUCCUGCCUCUCCAAACACACCUUGACGAGCCAUGCUUCUCCCCCGGUCUCCCGGCACCGGCUCCAAUGCCCACACAGGGAAGGAAGGAUGCCCGAGUGAGGGAACAGUUUUACCAGUUCAGCAGAAGGAAGUAUUUACCAAGGACCUGCCACGUACCCCAUUUUCAGGGCCCAGAAGUCUUUGCAGGGACCCACUAAGUGCGGGACCCAGUGCUAAGCCCUUUACAUGGAUUAUCUCCUUUAAUUCUCACCACACAACUCAGGGCAGAACCUGCCAACACUCUCCUUUACAAGUGGGGAAACCGAGGCUGAGAGCGAGGAACCGACCCGAGAUCACCCAGCUGGUCAUCAAGCGACUCAGGAUUCGAACCCAGAUCCCUGACCAUUGAAGAAGGCCCCCUGUGAGUCGCAUCUGUCAUAAAAGAGACUGAAAAUUGCCCGAACUUCCCGAAGACCUGCUCUUGACGUCAGUCAGCUCUACCCCCCGGCGAUGGCAGGGGCCAGCAGACCCUUCAAUGCCCAGCCCGGUUCAUCUGGCUCCAACGGGCAGCGGCCAAGUCCUUCUCCCCGCAGGAAACAUAUCCCGGGCUGGCCACAGGUGCCACCCUAAGUCAACUCUCUUUAACCCUGAAGGAAACACCUCGUUUCUCCCAAGUUCCGUGCCUACAGCUGUCAGCAGGUCCUGGCUGUGCUAGGAGAAGAGACCCAACAUUCAGCGGAGAAAGCCACCAAUGCAAAGAAAUAUUCUCUCCUCCGCUCUGGUUUCUGGACCAGACAACCCAGGAGAUGAAGCCACUAACCAACAUGCCCUUCUGCCAAGUUGGAAUUUCAAACUCAAUUCACUUGAGAUUGUCUGGAAUCUUCACUCGUCCAAAUGUUCAAGUUUAAGCACCAAGUUUGGAGAGGGCAAGGUCUGGGGACAACAAGAUGCUGUUCCGGUGAGAUGGGGCGUACUGGACCACGCAGCAAGUUGCAUGGGACCUUCAAGGCCCUGCAGAACAUCCAGGCUCCCUCCGGCCGUUCCCUGCUUCCAUUCGCCACAUCAGAUGUUCCUCGCUCGUCAAGCUGCUCACGUUGCUCUCCCGGCCAGAAAUAUCUUUUAUUUCUGGCCAAGUUUUCCUCCAGGCGCUCGAGGCCAGUCAUCCUUGGAACCAGCCCAGGUGCAUGCUCCCUUCUCCAGACACUAUUUCCUGACUGCCCCGAUCAAAGCUACCCCCUCUUUGCUCCCGUGGUAGUUCGGGCGCUGAAUGCACCAGGCAGGCACUGAUGGGAGUGUCUUCAACAAUCGAAAAGGCCUUGGUCAGAAAGGCCCAGGUGAAACUCAUUUGAGACUUCUGACCUCCAGAAAGGUAUGAUCAUAAAUGUGUAUGGUUUUAAGCCACAAAGUUUGCAGUGGUUGUUAUAGCAGCAACAGGCUCAUACACUGACUAUCUGAGCAAUUCGUUCAUCCCACACCCCGGAAUUCAUAGAUUCUGGAAACUGUUCAAACAAAUUCUGAUAACAAGGGAUGGGCAUAUUUUUAAUGUCCCCUGGCCCUAAUCACCACCCCCAGAUCACUGACUGAACACUGAAGAACUCAACAACUCUGAAACAAGAGGAAACUGAGGCUCAGAGACCAGAACCCAGGUCUGCCUGGCUACACCCCACCAGGCCUCCUGUGUCUCUGACCCCUGAGCUCCAGGAGGAAAUACUGAGCACGCUAGCCACUGUUUCUUGCACCAGAUGCCCCACCCCCCACCCACCCAACCCACCUCCUUGCACAAGAGCUGCUCUCAGUGGGAUCCCAGGGCCAAGAUCAGAGGACCCAAGUCACAUACCCCAAGAAAGCAGAACCGAUUCUGACAUUCUGCCUGGAUAGCAGCUGACCCUUCUGCUGAGUCAGCUGCUGAUACUUCCAAGGUUGCCAGAGUGUGUCUAUGGUGGGUGGGACACCCCCCCACUGCCCACGGAGCCCAGGACUCCCCCAUGGGGCAAGGCAUGAAGCCAGGAGACUGACUGAAAUGACCUUUCCUGUCUUGGGAACCCGAGGUCACAGGGCACAAGAUGCCCACAUCACCCCUGUGUACAAACGUGAAUAUCAGUGCCCACUUCCCCGGGAAUUAAGAUAGAAGCGCCUUCACUGA